rnacentral:rRNA from 1 species
GGUUAAGCGACUAAGCGUACACGGUGGAUGCCCUGGCAGUCAGAGGCGAUGAAGGACGUGCUAAUCUGCGAUAAGCGUCGGUAAGGUGAUAUGAACCGUUAUAACCGGCGAUUUCCGAAUGGGGAAACCCAGUGUGUUUCGACACACUAUCAUUAACUGAAUCCAUAGGUUAAUGAGGCGAACCGGGGGAACUGAAACAUCUAAGUACCCCGAGGAAAAGAAAUCAACCGAGAUUCCCCCAGUAGCGGCGAGCGAACGGGGAGGAGCCCAGAGCCUGAAUCAGUGUGUGUGUUAGUGGAAGCGUCUGGAAAGGCGCGCGAUACAGGGUGACAGCCCCGUACACAAAAAUGCACAUGCUGUGAGCUCGAUGAGUAGGGCGGGACACGUGGUAUCCUGUCUGAAUAUGGGGGGACCAUCCUCCAAGGCUAAAUACUCCUGACUGACCGAUAGUGAACCAGUACCGUGAGGGAAAGGCGAAAAGAACCCCGGCGAGGGGAGUGAAAAAGAACCUGAAACCGUGUACGUACAAGCAGUGGGAGCAC